rnacentral:rRNA from 1 species
AGUGGGGAAUAUUGGACAAUGGACCAAGAGUCUGAUCCAGCAAUUCUGUGUGCACGAUGAAGUUUUUCGGAAUGUAAAGUGCUUUCAGUUGGGAAGAAAGAAAUGACGGUACCAACAGAAGAAGUGACGGCUAACUACGUGCCAGCAGCCGCGGUAAUACGUAGGUCCCGAGCGUUAUCCGGAUUUAUUGGGCGUAAAGCGCGUCUAGGUGGUUAUAUAAGUCUGAUGUGAAAAUGCAGGGCUCAACUCUGUAUUGCGUUGGAAACUGUAUAACUAGAGUACUGGAGAGGUAAGCGGAACUACAAGUGUAGAGGUGAAAUUCGUAGAUAUUUGUAGGAAUGCCGAUGGGGAAGCCAGCUUACUGGACAGAUACUGACGCUAAAGCGCGAAAGCGUGGGUAGCAAACAGGAUUAGAUACCCGAGUAGUC